rnacentral:rRNA from 1 species
AUUGAAUGCUGGCGGCAGGCUUAACACAUGCAAGUCGAGCGGGGUGAUGGUGCUUGCACUAUCACUUAGCGGCGGACGGGUGAGUAAUGCUUAGGAAUCUGCCUAUUAGUGGGGGACAACAUCUCGAAAGGGAUGCUAAUACCGCAUACGUCCUACGGGAGAAAGCAGGGGAUCACUUGUGACCUUGCGCUAAUAGAUGAGCCUAAGUCGGAUUAGCUAGUUGGUGGGGUAAAGGCCUACCAAGGCGACGAUCUGUAGCGGGUCUGAGAGGAUGAUCCGCCACACUGGGACUGAGACACGGCGCAGACUCCUACGGGAGGCAGCAGUGGGGAAUAUUGGACAAUGGGGGGAACCCUGAUCCAGCCAUGCCGCGUGUGUGAAGAAGGCCUUAUGGUUGUAAAGCACUUUAGGCGAGGAGGAGGCUCUUUUGGUUAAUACCCAAGAUGAGUGGACGUUACUCGCAGAAUAAGCACCGGCUAACUCUGUGCCAGCCGCCGCGGUAA